GAAUAAAAUGGCUGAAAAAAUAAGCGAUAAAUUGUAAAUUUAUUUAUGAGAAUAAUCUCUUUUAUUAA
rnacentral:tRNA from 1 species